AGAAAUAUACCUCCUGACCAGGCAUGGUAGCGUACACCUGUAAUCCCAGCACUCAGGAGGAUCGUUACAAAAAGAGCCUGAUUCGGUACAAUGUCAUAAGAAAAUCCUCUUUGACAACUUUGGGAAGAGGUUAAAAGUGAGUCAUCAGGUGACUCAGCUACCAAUAAUGACUUGGAUCAUGUGAGCCAAGGAGUUAGCAAGGGGCCGGGGAUUUAGCUCAGUGGUUUCGCCGCCUGCUGUGCAAGCACAAGGACCCGAGUUCGAUCCCUGAUACCAAAAAACAAAAACAAACAAAGAGUUAGCAAGAAUGACAGAUGGACAAGUACAGAAUGAAGACCUGGAUUCAGAUAAGGAAGAAAACAGUAAUGUAAACAAAUAUUUGACUAGUCAAAAUGCUACAAAAUGGUCAUGUAUACCUGAAUGAUCCAGUGUUACAACUAGGUUAGAAAAUGUUAUUAGGUUCUUGCCAGGAGUGAAACCUAUUGGACAGAAUGCCAACAGUGCAAUUCGACGUUGGAAAUUAUAAUGGACGAUAUGCUACAAGAUGUUCUGAAAUACACUAAUAAUGAAAUACAAGAAAACAUCCUAUAUGCAUCAACAGUAAUACUCAAAAAUACAUUUAUCAUGACGUUUCACUAUCUGAACUAAAAGCCUUCAGAGCAGGACUUUCAUCACUCUGUCAGAAUCUAAAGGAUUUAUGAAAAAGUGACAAAUGUGGCAUUGAUAUUUUUAGAACAAUGACACUCGAGAUCUGGUUUUCUUCAAAAACACCUACGUUUUGACAAUAAAAAGACUCACCAAGAAAGAAAAAAUGCCGACAAUUUGGCUACUAUUUGCUCAUUCACUGAGUUUCCAACUGUCAAGCAACUGCAGUCCAAAUACAUGACAACUAAUGAACAACCUGCAUUAUUUCAUUAUUGCUGAAGCUUUAAGCAAUAAAUGCCAAGUAAAUCUUCUAAAUAUGGUAGAAAAAUAUAUGCCCCGGUAGAUGCAAAGACAUUUCACUCCUUGAAUUUAGAAAUUUUUUUCUGGAACUCAGCCACCAGGUCUUUCUUCAUGCAGUAAUAAACUGUAUGACUUUGUGAACACACUUGCUGCACCUACUUCAAAAAGUAACUCCAUUCACCACCUGCUGUGCAAGCGCAAGGACCCAAGUUCAAUCGCCGGUACCAAAAAAAAAAAAA